UACGGGGGGAGCAAGCGUUGUUCGGAUUUACUGGGCGUAAAGGGCGCGUAGGCGGCGCAACAAGUCACUUGUGAAAUCUCCGGGCUUAACCCGGAGCGGUCAAGUGAUACUGUCGUGCUAGAGUGCGGAAGGGGCUACUGGAAUUCUCGGUGUAGCGGUGAAAUGCGUAGAUAUCGAGAGGAACACCCUGCGGCGAAGGCGGGUAGCUGGGCCGACACUGACGCUGAUGCGCGAAAGCCCAGGGGAGCGAACGGG
rnacentral:rRNA from 1 species